UACGUAGGGUGCAAGCGUUAAUCGGAAUUACUGGGCGUAAAGCGUGCGCAGGCGGUUCUAUAAGACAGAUGUGAAAUCCCCGGGCUCAACCUGGGAACUGCAUUUGUGACUGUAGAGCUGGAGUGCGGCAGAGGGGGAUGGAAUUCCGCGUGUAGCAGUGAAAUGCGUAGAUAUGCGGAGGAACACCGAUGGCGAAGGCAAUCCCCUGGGCCUGCACUGACGCUCAUGCACGAAAAGCGUGGGGGAGCAAACAGG
rnacentral:rRNA from 1 species